GUGUGCGGAGCUGUGGCGUCGCGUGUGAGGCGCGUGCAGGGUGAGUGUGAGUGGACGCGUGAGUGUGUGAGUGUGCGCGCUUGGAGCGUGUUAGGCGAGUGCGUGCGCCCACCCCUGCGCCCCUCCUCCCGCUUACACUUUGAUCUUAUUUGAUCGGAUCGUGACCCCAGCCCCGCCGGGCCGACCCGAAAUGAAAAGCUCUCCUCCUGCGAAGCCCCCUCGGGGCGCUGUGCAGCGAGG
rnacentral:lncRNA from 1 species